rnacentral:rRNA from 1 species
CGGCACCUAUCUUCGGAUAGAAGCGAGUGGCGAACGGCUGAGUAACACGUGGAGAACCUGCCCCCUCCCCGGGAUAGCCGCCCGAAAGGACGGGUAAUACCGGAUACCCCGGGGUGCCGCAUGGCACCCCGGCUAAAGCCCGACGGGAGGGGAUGGCUCCGCGGCCCAUCAGGUAGACGGCGGGGUGACGGCCCACCGUGCCGACAACGGGUAGCCGGGUUGAGAGACCGACCGGCCAGAUUGGGACUGAGACACGGCCCAG